rnacentral:rRNA from 1 species
GACGAACGCUGGCGGCGUGCUUAACACAUGCAAGUCGAACGGAAAGGCCCUGCUUUUGUGGGGUGCUCGAGUGGCGAACGGGUGAGUAACACGUGAGUAACCUGCUCUUGACUUUGGGAUAACUUCAGGAAACUGGGGCUAAUACCGGAUAGGAGCUCCUGCUGCAUGGUGGGGGUUGGAAAGUUUCGGCGGUUGGGGAUGGACUCGCGGCUUAUCAGCUUGUUGGUGGGGUAGUGGCUUACCAAGGCUUUGACGGGUAGCCGGCCUGAGAGGGUGACCGGCCACAAUGGGACUGCGAUACGGCCCAGACUCCUACGGGAGGCAGCAGUGGGGAAUAUUGCACAAUGGGCGGAAGCCUGAGGCGGCAACGCCGCGUGCGGGAUGACGGCCUUCGGGUUGUAAACCGCUUUCGCCUGUGACGAAGCGUGAGUGACGGUAAUGGGUAAAGAAGCACCGGCUAACUACGUG